rnacentral:rRNA from 1 species
ACCGGCGCACGGGUGCGUAACGCGUAUGCAAUCUACCCUUUACUGGGGAAUAGCCCGGAGAAAUUCGGAUUAAUGCCCCAUAUGCCCACGGAAUCGCAUGGUUCAGUGGGGAAAGUUCCGACGGUAAAGGAUGAGCAUGCGUCCCAUUAGCUAGUUGGUGAGGUAACGGCUCACCAAGGCGACGAUGGGUAGGGGGCCUGAGAGGGUGAUCCCCCACACUGGUACUGAGACACGGACCAGACUCCUACGGGAGGCAGCAGUGAGGAAUAUUGGGCAAUGGAGGCAACUCUGACCCAGCCAUGCCGCGUGCAGGAAGACGGCCCUCUGGGUUGUAAACUGCUUUUGUUUGGGAAUAAACCCUUCUACGUGUAGGAGGCUGAAGGUACCUUACGAAUAAGCAUCGGCUAACUCCGUGCCAGCAGCCGCGGUAAUACGGAGGAUGCAAGCGUUAUCCGGAUUUAUUGGGUUUAAAGGGUCCGUAGGCGGAUCUUUAAGUCAGUGGUGAAAGCCCACAGCUCAACUGUGGAACUGCCAUUGAUACUGGAGAUCUUGAGUGUAGUAGAAGUAGGCGGAAUAGGGCAUGUAGCGGUGAAAUGCAUAGAUAUGCCCUAGAACACCGAUUGCGAAGGCAGCUUACUAUGUUACAACUGACGCUGAGGGACGAAAGCGUGGGGAGCAAACAGGAUUAGAUACCCUGGUA